rnacentral:rRNA from 1 species
UAACGCGUAGGUAACCCACCUCAUAGCGGGGGAUAACUAUUGGAAACGAUAGCUAAUACCGCAUAAGAGAGACUAACGCAUGUUAGUAAUUUAAAAGGGGCAAUUGCUCCACUAUGAGAUGGACCUGCGUUGUAUUAGCUAGUUGGUGAGGUAAAGGCUCACCAAGGCGACGAUACAUAGCCGACCUGAGAGGGUGAUCGGCCACACUGGGACUGAGACACGGCCCAG